GCCCGGGUGGUGAAAUUGGUAGACACGCCAUCUUGAGGGGGUGGUGGGCGAAAGCCCGUGCUGGUUCAAAUCCAGUCCCGGGCACCA
rnacentral:tRNA from 1 species